GUACUUCCAAAAUACAUAUACUAGAAUUGUAACGAUACAGGGAAGAUUAGCAUGGUUCAUGCGCAAGGAUGACACGCAAAAUCAUGAAGCGUUCCACAUUUUU
rnacentral:snRNA from 1 species